rnacentral:rRNA from 1 species
CGUUACAGGUUCUCGGUGUGCUUCUGCCAAAACCCAAAUUUUCUAUGGUUGACCUCGGAUCAGGUAGGGAUACCCGCUGAACUUAAGCAUAUCAAUAAGCGGAGGAAAG